rnacentral:lncRNA from 1 species
AGGAGAGCCUGAAUAGGGCUGUAAAUUAUUCCAAAGAAUAAGAAGUUUGCCUGCCCUCUGCUCUGUUGCAGCCUCACUGCACUGUGUGGGCUUAUCCAAACCAACAUGCCACCUCUUCAACCCUCCCUUUUUUAUCUCCCCCAAGAUCCCUGCAGUCCUGCACACCCUUAGUGCCACAGUCCCAACCAAAAUCUGGAUCCUUCUUUGCAUGCUCUACCCCUCUCCCAAAUCUCUACCUCCUGCCCCCAUUUUCACUCACAAGCCCCAGUCUAGGUGCAGGGAACACUCAGCAACCAUCCUGUUUCAGGUGGGAAAAUAAGUUACUGUCUGACGGCUGCUCUGUGAUAGCUAUGUGGCAGCCCACUGUCACGAGGGCAGGGGGAAGGUGGUUAUUAUUAUUAUUAUCAUCAUCUCUGGGUUUAUUGCAAACAGAUUUAUUGAAGAUGGCUAUACAGUGUAGUCAUGCAAGCAAAUCUUACUGCACAUUUGUUAUGGCCCAAGUCUUGGUUUCUUACCACUCCAACAUUUUCUUGUCAGAGGUUCUCUUAACUCCUGGAGAGUAACCUUGAGAGGUGUCCCAACUCAAGGGGAGAUUCACCGCCGUGCAGCCUGCUGCCAUGCAGGAGAGCUCCACGGGCUCUAGGCUGCAGCACUAUCUAUGGGCACAGAGUUUGACUCAUGGUCAUACAACAUUUGGUGUGGAGAUGUACCCUUUUUUUUGCUGAUCUCAUGCUGUGUUGGGGAGAAGAUACAUUUUUGCUGACCUCACGCCAUGUUGGAGAAAAUAUUCUCCUUUUUGCUGAUCUCCUGCCCAUUUCUGGCCUCACCAGCUCCAACCAGUAUCGCCUAGUUCCUCCUGGUCAGCCCUGGGUGCUGUCAGUUAUUUGCAGUCAGCUGGGGCCUGAGAUAAGAGGGGAGUGGGGGGUAGCUGUGCUCCACCACACCCACACACAGGCUCUUAUCUUUUGCAUGGGCAAAGCUAGCUUACCCCUCCGUAAAAGAGUAGACCAUAGCAAAAAAGCCUGCUAUCCCAGAGUAGCUGGGGCACGGGAACGUGACCAUGCCCGGAGGAGGCCGGAGCAGGGCAUGGGCCAGUGUGGCCUAGAAACGCCGGGUCGUAAACAGGCCCUUGAAUACCAAGGAGUCAAAAGCAUGGAGGAGAAACUGAUUAGCAGAGGAAAACUGGGAGCCCUAGCUGAAGCUGGUUUUUCUGUUUUGGAAGAUCUCACAAGUUGCAAGGCUAUUCCCUUCACAGACUUCCCUCUUCUUUGCUGCUCCGAGAGCUGCGUGGAAGCAAAGGGGCGGCUGGCCCCGUAGCUAGCACAUGUCGGCGUGACUGCGGCCGUCAGCCUGUGGUAGCCCCGCUCCAAAGAUUCGCACUCCUCCUGCUGAAGGUUCACCAGGGAAUAGCUCUGGAGAAGGAGAAUAUUUUUGGUAGAGGGCCUGAAGUACCUUGGCUUGCCUCGUUUGAAGAGGGCAGAGCCACUUCCUUUUCCUAAUGUUACUUGGGAAGAGAUGCCCUAUUCUUUUGGGUUUGGUGGAAAAAUAAGGCACUCAAGAAUUACAGACUUUUAUUGAUGUGGCACUUACUGAGGUGGUGAGCUGCUGACACGGCCAGAAGGCCACCUCUAACCAUUUUUUAACCAGGGAACCUCUAGUUACUCUUUCAUUAGCACCUCUUUCAUCCACCUGAAAUGGAAAAUUGUGUGGUUUUGACCUUCACAAAGAAUCUAGCCCUUUUAUAUACACCUUUAUUGAGUGUCUGAAACUAUUUUAGGGAGCUGUGCGUUAUUAAAAGACAAAUGCUUUAAUUUUUGAGCACAGGAAUUAGCAGAGUCAGAGCAAUCCAUGAAAUUGGAAGGCACAAUCUCUUCCCAGUGGAGCCAUAUUUGGUAGGAUAAGAAGACUCAUUUUGACAUCACAGUCCAAAUUCAGAGGGAAAAUAGCAACUACUCAAGGCAACAAAUAUCUCCCAAGGAAAUGGGACCAAGAAAAUGGAUUCAGCAAGGGUAAGAAAAACAGUAGGAAAGUCAGUUUCAUACCAUCCCACUGAUCGUUUUUUUCUGCUGUAAAUCCAGAAUUCUACCUUCUCUGAGCAAAACAGAAUCAAAAAUCUUUGGGAAGAGGUUGUGCUCAUUCAAGUUUAGUCUGAAUUUUGCUCUAUUUUUCUGAUUUUUCCUGCAGUUCAUGUGAAUUACAACUACAGUUUUACAACCAAUUUAAAAUAGUUUAUUGAAAGAGUAAACAUUGCAUCACUUACUAAACUGCCAGAAAUGUCUGUAUGUUCCUAAAUGAACCCAUGUCUACAUCUCUAAUUUUCACACUUGUAAUUUUAACAAAAAACAUUUUACUAGGCAGCAGAUUUAUUUUCUUUUUGUUAUUAUAUGAAGCCGUUCUGUUGUUUGGGAAGUGGCAGUAGUCAGUCAGCUGCAAAUUGUGUUUGUAUGCAAAUGCUUGGUAAUAUCUGAAAGCACAGUUCUGAUUAUUUAUGAGCUAAUUGUCCAAAACAUGUUGCAGUUGAUCCUCAUAAAUAUUAGGCAUUAAGAAAACAAGAAACAGCAUAAAUAAAGUUCUGGUCUUUCAGCA